GCACAGAUUAACUAAUAAGUGAUUGUUCCAUUUUAUCUUUAAGGGUACAGGACCAUGAGUUUAAGAACUCUACGAGCUGUAAAAUGAUCUGCCCUAAGGUGUUUGCCUUCAGAAGCUCUGCCAUGCUAUGUUUGCCUGGAAAAACUUGUCUUAAAGCUUAAUUAAAGAUAGCAUCCUGACAGAUCAAAGAUGUGGUUCACAGUCCUUUUAUGUUCAGCAGAAGAUCGUGGAGGCAGAAGAAGAUACAAAGGGUGAAUGGCCGAUAUGAAUGAAGCAAGGAAAGGAAGCAAGCAGAAAGUUCUCUUUUGCUACAGUAUAUGGAAAAAAAAGGAAACUGCUUACCAUCACCAUACUCAGGAGCUUGAAAGGACCACCAGGGCUGUUGGUCCCCUGGCAAGAAGAAAGGAUAUGUGACUCAAGCCCAGCCAGUCCUCACAGCUCAUUCACUGGCUGGGAUGGUUGGUCCAGGAAUGAGCACGUGAUUCAAAGUGGAUUUUUCAUCUUGAAUGGUGCAGUUUGGAAAUGGAGAAAAAUUGGACUUGCCCUGUGGCUCACUGAGUUGAAAUUAUGCAAAUCAGAGACUAUAAGCAGCUGUCUAUUCUGCUGGCCACAUGAAGAGAACGUCUCUGCAGGAGGAGAAAAUAAAGCCAACAGACAGAGUAAG
rnacentral:lncRNA from 1 species